GACGAACGCUGGCGGCGUGCUUAACACAUGCAAGUCGAACGGAAAGGCCCUGCUUUUGUGGGGUGCUCGAGUGGCGAACGGGUGAGUAACACGUGAGUAACCUUCCCUUGACUUUGGGAUAACUUCAGGAAACUGGGGCUAAUACCGGAUAGGAGCUCCUGCUGCAUGGUGGGGGUUGGAAAAUUUCGGCGGUUGGGGAUGGACUCGCGGCUUAUCAGCUUGUUGGUGGGGUAGUGGCUUACCAAGGCUUUGACGGGUAGCCGGCCUGAGAGGGUGACCGGCCACAUUGGGACUGAGAUACGGCCCAGACUCCUACGGGAGGCAGCAGUGGGGAAUAUUGCACAAUGGGCGGAAGCCUGAUGCAGCAACGCCGCGUGCGGGAUGACGGCCUUCGGGUUGUAAACCGCUUUCGCCUGUGACGAAGCGUGAGUGACGGUAAUGGGUAAAGAAGCACCGGCUAACUACGUG
rnacentral:rRNA from 1 species